AUUGAACGCUGGCGGCAGGCCUAACACAUGCAAGUCGGACGGUAGCACAGAGGAGCUUGCUCCUCGGGUGACGAGUGGCGGACGGGUGAGUAAUGUCUGGGGAUCUGCCCGAUAGAGGGGGAUAACCACUGGAAACGGUGGCUAAUACCGCAUAACGUCGCAAGACCAAAGAGGGGACCCUUCGGCCCCCUCACUAUCGGAUGAACCCAGAUGGGAUUAGCUAGUAGGCGGGGUAAUGGCCCACCUAGGCGACGAUCCCUAGCUGGUCUGAGAGGAUGACCAGCCACACUGGAACUGAGACACGGUCCAGACUCCUACGGGAGGCAGCAGUGGGGAAUAUUGCACAAUGGGCGCAAGCCUGAUGCAGCCAUGCCGCGUGUAUGAAGAAGGCCUUCGGGUUGUAAAGUACUUUCAGCGGGGAGGAAGGCGGUGAGGUUAAUAACCUCACCGAUUGACGUUACCCGCAGAAGAAGCACCGGCUAACUCCGUGCCAGCCGCCGCGGUAA
rnacentral:rRNA from 1 species